rnacentral:rRNA from 1 species
GGUGAGUAACGCGUGAGAAUCUGCCAACAGGACUGGGACAACAGUGGGAAACCGCUGCUAACCCCGGAUGUACCGAGAGGGAAAAUAUUUAUAGCGCUGUUGAUGAGCUCGCGUCUGAUUAGCUAGUUGGUGGGGUAAAGGCUUACCAAGGCGGCGAUCGGUAGCUGGUCUGAGAUGAUGACCAGCCACACUGGGACUGAGACAAUGCCCAGACUCCUACGGGAGGCAGCAGUUGGGGAAUUUUCCGCAAUGGGCGAAAGCCUGACGGAGCAAUACCGCGUGAGGGAAGAACGCUCUUGGGUUGUAAACCUCUUUUC